CCCGAGGGCCCGGCUACGUCACUGCGGCUCUGACGCGCGCUAAUGGAGGCACGGGCGGAGGCGGCGGGGCGCGGGCUUCCUCCCGGGAGGUCCCGGUUCUUGCAACCCACCGCCGCGUCCUUGGCCCUCCUCCAGGGGAACCUCGAUUUUCCAAAUUCGGGAAGGCUGGCUGUCCUUCGACUACUGAUAAGGACGCGAGCGCAUGGUAAAAGAUUUUAACAAUGCCCGGAAAGAAAUAGCUGGACCCGAAAAAGAGACUAAUAAUAGCCACAAGCUAGAGCUCUGCUCGUGUGCUCAGCGCCCUUAAGAACAAUAAUGACGACAACAACCAUAAUAGCUACCAUUUAUUGAGCGCUUACUCUGUGCCAGGCACUGGGUUAAGCGCUUUGCAAGCAACAACCCUCGGAGCUCUGAGAGUUCUGGGUUUCGUUCCUACCUGAUGGGUGACUGUGUCAGGAAACUGGAAAAUGCUGGAUUAAACAAACGACAGUGACUGUCUGGCAACGGACCCACUGGAUAAUGCUUACCAGUUUUCCAGGUCAUUUUUGUUUUUUAAAUUGAAUCUUGGGAUCAAGUGAUUCACAAUAAUGAGGGGAAGAAAGAACUCUGGGCUUGCUGUAGCUGUCAGGAUUAUCCAAUUGGAAGGGACUUUCGCUCUUCACACCCCCAAAAAGACAAAAUGUUUAAGGAAAUGCUCAGCUGUUUUCCUGGAGAGUUGACUCUGGUCCCUUGUUCUCUACAAAGUCAAAACGAGAGGCUACCAGGGCACUCAUCAAUUCAGACUUGACCAACCUCUCUGAGACUCCAAGCCAGAAGGUGACUGGUACCUUGGUGGCCCACCAGGUACAUAAUUCCAGCAAGAGACCCGAAACAAGAUGUACAAAAUGUCUCCCACUCCAUGAGGCUCCUGGUGGUGAACGUCCAGUCCUGGUCAUCCUCAUGCUCGCCACCCUCACAUGACUUGACUUCUGACUCAUGAGCUCUGCAUCUGCACCCUCCCACAACUUUAGAAGUACAAUCAUAGAAUCCAGGGCUCCAAAGUGUGGACCCUUAUCCACCCUUAGCACCUGCCCCCGCAUGGGAGAGCUCUUCUCAGCUCCUUUGAGAUGGAGAUGCAGGUGGCAUGCAGGUAAGAUGAGGAGAAGGAGGACCUGAGGUCCCUACUUUCUGCUCCAUGCUUCUGGGGGAGUCCAGGCCUGGCCAUCCACCGUCUCCAUGCUCAGGGCCAAGCAGCUGCAGAGGCUGCAGGUUGCUCUGAGGUGGGACAGACUAUGCAGGGUCACUGUUGGUAAUGAUGUUUUCAAGUGCUCAUGGAUGGUGUGGUUGCCAUGGUGAUGCCCUUGGUUCUGAACAGGCAGUAGCCUCUCUUGAGUUGUGAGUCAGGUUCUGUUUUAUUUUUUUAAAAACAAAACCAGGCGCCCUGACCUACGGGAGACAAAGCGGAGCUGCAGGUGGAGGCCACGGCGUCACUGCGGGGGUGUGAAUCAGGGGUGCUAUGUGCAGUCCUGGGGUCCCCUGAUGUCAGCUGGCCCCGCUUGCUGUGGGCCUGGGAGCAUCCACAGAGGUAAGCGGGGAGGCCAGACCUCAAUCUGUGGCCCAGGAAGUGAACACAAUCAGAACCCACUCUCCUGGUUGGAAGCCACUUACUAGAAGGCAGGUCCCAUUCCUUAGCUGCAGUCCCAGGACCAAAAUGGAACCUCCAGGGACUCUGCCCUGCUCCUCAGACACCGGAGUCUUCAGGGCCCACAGAGGUGGAGCAUGCGCUGGCCAGCCUCAGCCAAAUGAAGGACAGGGCCUGGCCCAGAGAUGACCAGUGCUGAGCUGGCCCACCCACGAGUGUGACACACAGGAGCACCCGCCCCGACGUCCAGGCUGAACCCAGUCAUCCCUUUGAGAGGGGCAGGGUCCUGGAAAGACCAGGGAGGCCACAAAAAUGUUCUCCCAGGGCCUGAACUUCUGGGGUGGGGCUCCCUUUCCCAGCACUCCACAGGGGAGGGGUAAAGGCAGUAAUGACUCGGGCCUCAAUGCCGGGCCUUGUGUCACCCUCCAGGGGAAUGAUACAGGAACCCUCUUCCUUGGCUUGGACACUGUCCCAGCACCUUAGACCUAUAGGUGUAGGGGCCAGGAAGCCUGCUCAUGUGUCUGGGCUCCCAGAGAUUGAGUAGGAGGGAUUGAUUCCUCCCUCUCCCACAGUCUGAUGGCCAGAAGACUUGCCCCCUAACCAACCCUGGACUCCCAGUCCUGCUCCACGUCGGCCUUCGUUAUUUCGCGUUAUUGAUUAUAGUGGAUAGGUCAGUAGGUGCCGAGCUCUAUGUGACUGAGCUCCCACCCCCAUCGUAGUGUGGGGUGUGAUGUAGUCAUAGCACCUUCUCCCAGGGCAGCUGGAGGGUGAAAUGCAAUCGUAUUUGCAGAUGUUUCACACAGAACCUGGCCGGCGCAGACAAGCAGAAGUGACUCUUACCAGUGCUGGCUUUUGUUCAGGCCCUUAGCCCAUCUUGCCUGGCUAACGGCUACAGUCUCUUGACGUCACUGGUCAAUUGCAGUCUUGCUCCUCUCCAAUCCAUUGUCCAUGCCACAGCGGAGUGAUUUAUCUCAAUGCAGUCCCAACCAUGUGAUUUUCCUCCGUAAAAUCUACCGAUGGCUCUCAUUUGCCUUCAGGGUAACGCUUAGAUGGUCAACAAGGUCCCUCAACGUCUAGCCAUUGGCUGCCCUCUCCUGCCCCGUAUUUCCUCACACGUUCCUGGCCAGAAGCAAGUGUGAGAAGUGUUCUCCAGACACUUCUGAUUCUAGCCUCAUCUGUACCUUCAGAAUUUUUGCCGCAUUCUUCCCUUGGUCCAGAGCACCCUUUCUCUUUCUGGGCACCUAGCAAACACCAGCCCCUCCCCUUCAAGAACACAUCCUGAAAAUUCCCACCAUCCUGAAACCUCUCUUCAAGCACAGAGUCCACCACUUCCUCCUCUGAGCCACUUUGGUGCCUUCCAUAAAGACAAUUACCCAUGACACUGCAAUGAUUGCUGUCCAUGCCUGAGACCCUUUCCAGUUUCAUGAGGAAGCAUGGAUUCUAAUUUCCAUAUCCCUGGAACACACGGGAUCAUCACAUCUAGAGAUGAGCGUCCCUAGAUGAAUGAAUGAAGACAUAGAAGAGGCAACUGAGGCCCAGACAGGAGUAGUGACGUGGCUGACGUGGAGUCGGGAAUCCUGGAACUCCAGCGGCUCUGACUCCAGGGACUCUGGACCAUUCAUUUGUUCCUCAGUCACUUCCAAAGCACCAGUGAGACUCCAGACACUGUGUUGUACCCUGAUACAAAGAUCCAGGAGCCACCUGGCCCUCAGGAGCCCACAGGCAGAUGGAACAGAAUGACCAUGUCCUUGAUUACAAACUGUGACGGAGGGUGUAGAAGGAGCUGCAGGAAAUCCAGGGACAUGGUGGUGAGAGGAAGCCACUAGCUCGGGCUGAAUGUUUGUUUCCCCGUCAAAAUUCGUACAUUGAGGGGCUGGGAUUGUGGUGCAGUGGUAGAGUGCUCGCCUUGUAUGCGUGAGACACUGGGUUUGAUCCUCAGCAUCACAUAAAUAUAAAAUAAAGAUAUUG